UCCGUAGGUGAACCUGCGGAGGGAUCAUUACACAAUAUGAAAGCGGGCUGGCAUCCUUCGGGGUUACAGCCUUGCUGAAUUAUUCACCCGUGUCUUUUGCGUACUUCUUGUUUCCUUGGUGGGUUCGCCCACCAUAGGACAAACCAUAAACCUUUUGUAAUUGCAAUCAGCGUCAGUAAAAAAAAUUAAUAAUUACAACUUUCAACAACGGAUCUCUUGGUUCUGGCAUCGAUGAAGAACGCAGCGAAAUGCGAUAAGUAGUGUGAAUUGCAGAAUUCAGUGAAUCAUCGAAUCUUUGAACGCACAUUGCGCCCUUUGGUAUUCCAAAGGGCAUGCCUGUUCGAGCGUCAUUUGUACCCUCAAGCUUUGCUUGGUGUUGGGCGUCUUGUCUCUAGCUUUGCUGGAGACUCGCCUUAAAGUAAUUGGCAGCCGGCCUACUGGUUUCGGAGCGCAGCACAAGUCGCACUCUCUAUCAGCAAAGGUCUAGCAUCCAUUAAGCCUUUUUUUCAACUUUUGACCUCGGAUCAGGUAGGGAUACCCGCUGAACUUAAGCAUAUCAAUAAGCGGAGGA
rnacentral:rRNA from 1 species